UUUCUCUCUCUUUCGGCAAAAUCUCACUAUGAGACAAGAACUUUUUAUACUAGUUCGCCCCUCACUUGACUACUUUUAGUCCCGAAGGAUCCUUCCUACCGAUAUUCUACUACUUCUCUCAAAAAUACACACUCACUUUAAUGGGAUUAGCAACCCCAACACCUUAGAUUCAACCUUCGUAGAGAUCUAACCCUUUCCAAGUGAAACAAGACUUAGAG
rnacentral:lncRNA from 1 species